ensembl:lncRNA
CCUAGAUGGGUGUGUGGAAGAUUGCCUUUGAAUAGAAUAUUCUAGAAUAUUGCUAGAUAGACAUUAACUCUUACAAAAUCUUCACUCAAAUCUGCCCACAGAAUUUAGUAUAUUUGAGCAUCUCAGUAUCUAAGUAAUUAUCUAAUAUGUGCUACAGUUGGAUAUUACUGCUAUCAUUUGUCUUUGCAAAUAAGUAAGGAUAGAGGUUGUUUACAGGUCUGAAAGUCAAAUUUGAAAGUCUGCCUGUCAGCUAGGCAGCUUGCACUGAACAGGACAUCAACAGCCAGCAUUUUGCUUCUAAUUUGGAGGUUAAAUAGAGGUAGAGAUGAGACUUGGCUUUCGUUUAAAAAUAAUCUAGCCUUUUAACUUGCCUAGAAAGCCAUAAAAACAGAAAUAUCUGCAGAGGAAGCCACAUCUUUGAAAAUUUGCUGUUGACUCUUUCCGAAAGAUCAGACCUUACUCACAGGGUCAUCUUAGCCAACAGCUUGGCCUUCUGACCAGGACGGGUAGCCAGGCUUCACACGAUUCCUGUAAAGGUCCCAGAUCUUGUAGCAGUCAAAGGGAGCCGUGUUAUCCAGACUGCAGCUCGCAGGAGUAGGGUCUCCGCAAUUCUGUCCUUAGCAGUUCUUCUGCUAGGUAGUCAUUUUGAUUUCUGGCUUUAAUGGCUAGUAAACAGCAAAAAUGCAGGGGUAAUACGACCUACUUCCAGAUAAUGCUUGAUCUGUUCUUAGCUCUACCUUUCAUAAACCACUAUUGUACUUUUCCUUAUGCUUUUAUAUAUUCUGCCCUGCACGUCAUUCCAUUUGUAUAUCCUGUUACAGCAGUUCUGGACAAUGAAACACGUGAAAUGGAAGAAACAGCUGCUGUUCUUCCUCCUGAAGGAACUGUCAAACCCUUGCUUCUUCUUAAGAUAGCUGGGAUGGAUGAAAAAAAAAUUUGCUGUCACUCCGUACUCAAAAACUACACAAUUUUCCACUGGGAUCACUUCUGUUUUAAAAACAAGGAACUAAAUGGUGUGUGCUUCAGUUAUCGUUCAGGCAGACAACAAUGAAGUAUGGGAGAAUCUAUUCUCUUACAGCAGUUGUAGUAGCAGAAUUCUAGGCUACAUGAUUAUCCACCUCUCUUACCUGUUAGAAUUGGUAAGUCUGGGCUUUCUGUCCUUUUUUUUUCCCCCCCUUUUUUCCUUAUGUUUUGUUCCGGAAUGCAGGCACCACUUGCUUUAUUUUAAAGAGUGUCGUUGUUGUUGUUGUUGUUGUUGUUGUUUUUAGGGUUAACAUGUUUUAGCUCUUAUUUUAGCACUAUGAGCAUUUUCGGGGCAGUAUAGCUAAGUUUUAUAAGCAUGUAAGAGUCUGGGUACAUGCAUACUGUUUUUCAAAAGUAAAUUAGGCAUGGAGUAUUCUAAAUUCCAUUGACAUUCAACAAGAUUUAGACUUCUAAGUGUCCUUGUCUCUUUUGAAAAUGACACUUUCUCUCUGAAGCUCUUCAAGUGCUUCAGAAAACGUUGCCCUGCUUUUUGCAUAUGUAAAUGGUUCUGUAGAUAAAGUAAACAGUUAUGCUAAUGAGACCAGGAGAAGGCAUGGUAUGCUGCCUUUCCUGUCUGCUUUAGUCUCACUUGCAAGCAUAUCACAAUUCCAGUGUUACAAUCAACCUGGGUGGGGGGAGUGCAAUUUAUGCUUUAAAAAAGUGUGUGUGGGGGGGGAAGCAAACAGUUUUACUGUGGCAGUACAUAAAUUUAGGAGGGAAGUAGAUUUCCCGCUAUCAGGUAGCUGGAGUUUUAGCAUAGCUUUCAGGAAGGAGUACCGGGAUUUAAAAAAGUGCCCCGGUGUAUCAAGUUCUAUUGCAGAUCAAAUAAAAUAGAUUAUGUAGUGUGGUUGCUGAUAGAA